UGGGUUGAUAAUGACCACUGGUGGUGCACGAGUCAUGGAUUAUAACUACAGGUCUGGAGGUCUCAGGUCCAU